GACGAACGCUGGCGGCGUGCUUAACACAUGCAAGUCGAACGGAAAGGCCCUGCUUUUGUGGGGUGCUCGAGUGGCGAACGGGUGAGUAACACGUGAGUAACCUGCACUUGACUUUGGGAUAACUUAAGGAAACUGGGGCUAAUACCGGAUAGGAGCUCCUGCUGCAUGGUGGGGGUUGGAAAGUUUCGGCGGUUGGGGAUGGACUCGCGGCUUAUCAGCUUGUUGGUGGGGUAGUGGCUUACCAAGGCUUUGACGGGUAGCCGGCCUGAGAGGGUGACCGGCCACAUUGGGACUGAGAUACGGCCCAGACUCCUACGGGAGGCAGCAGUGGGGAAUAUUGCACAAUGGGCGGAAGCCUGAUGCAGCAACGCCGCGUGCGGGAUGACGGCCUUCGGGUUGUAAACCGCUGUCGCCUGUGACGAAGCGUGAGUGACGGUAAUGGGUAAAGAAGCACCGGCUAACUACGUG
rnacentral:rRNA from 1 species